GUGACUCUCCCAGGCCAGGAGCUCAGGGACCAGGCAGGAGGGCUCUGAUGGCCGGAUGUGGCCCACAGGCCGUAGUUUACCCACCUCUGGGCUAAUAGAUUCAGUUUCAAGCACUAAAGUGUGUUACGAUGUCAGAUUCCCUAUUUAUGCUCUGGAUGCACUUGUCUGAUAGCCUGAAACCUCACAAAGUGCCCCCAGGGAAUGUGGCACAGUAAAUGCACAUCUUGCCAUUUUUCAAGCUACUAUCAAGAAAACAAAUCAAUGUUAACUAUACUAGAUUUAAAUAUUCUUUCCAUAUUUUUUUAACUCACUCUGUGUAGUAACGUAGGUACAAUCAGUAUUGCCGUUUUAGACUGAUAUUGAUGAUGUACCCUCUUGGACUGCAUCAGUAUGAAAAUAAAUGCUUUUGAGACCUCUAAUUCACUCCUGAGGCUGAUGGCCAAUUUGUUAGGGUUGCUUAUAACCUUUAUCUCAACUUUCAGACACAGUAAGUUUCAGAAAGAGGCCACAUCUAUUUUGGUACAUGGCAUCUCUGUUACCAGAAGGAGCCAACAACCCAUUUUAAUCACUAUCAUGCGAAUUCUGUGAAUGGGCAAUCUCAAAAUGUUGGCUUUCAGUAACUGGUGUUCAGCUGGAGCAAACUGCAUAAGAGACGGAUGGCUCUUGAACGUCAUUAAUUGUGACCUGUGUUAGAAUAUUUAGAAAAUGAAAUUUUGCCCUUUUUCUUAAAUAAAAACGCUUUAAGUAUGAAGUGUUGAAUAUUGGAAAUAUUUUGUAUUUGUUAAAAUGUGUCUCUCACGCAACACAAUGAGAAUUCUCUUUAUACUCAGGUCAAAUAUUUUUCUGGUUAUUUGUUGCUUGGCAACAGCAUAGGGAUUAUUGCCAACUUCUAUACUUGGUAAAUUCCUGAGCAACACUUCCUAAUUUUAGUAUAGAAUGUAAUUACAAGGGCCUAGAGCCUGAUGGGUGAAGGGAGAGAUGCUAACACAUAAAGAUAUGGAAAGAGAACUAGCGGGGAAGCCGUCUCUGGGGUCUAGCAAAUCAAUUUAAAAUCCUCCACUAAAGGAAUUUUUGGUUGAAAUUGUAUGGAUUGUUCUGCAGGAGGUCAGACUGAAUAAACACAGUAGUCCCUUCUGGCCUGAAGAUAUUAAUCUAAGCAAUUUGUCAUAUGUUGGGAACUCUUCCUUUGGCCUCCUGGGAAGCGAGAUGAAAGAGGACACAGCUGUAAUAUGGCAUGUUCAGCUUGGAAGGAUCUGAUGGUCGUCAGCAGUUUGCAAAUACAAAAUUUGAUUGGACCAGCACCAACUCCCACAGUUGCAUUACUUCUGCACAAAAUGGGAGUGUGUGCAGAUCAAACUGGGGGGAAACAGAUGGACAAUUACUCUACAUGUUGCAGUAGGGUGUUUGGGCUUGUCAGGCCUAAGCUGUGAGAGGAGGCAUUUUGAUCACCAUCCACAGGCACUAACUCUUCAUUUUUGGCUGUAUGGCAAGAAAACGUGGUGGCUUCAGUUUUUGAGCUGUGGGUCUCACUAAGGUUUUUAAAGUGAAAUAUUGCUGCUGCGCUUGGAAUUGAGUUCCAUCAGCAUGGAACUGGUGUGGUGAAAUGGGGAGAUAGGCACAAAACUUGAGCAUGCUGAAGUUUAAACAAGUGGAAGAGGUGCUGCAAAUGAAUUCAGAAAAUAUCAAACAUAGAUAAAUGGUGGUCUCCUUCUUUUUCCUGAGUUCUGGUAUUAUGGCUUCUAGCUGGUAAGGAAAAAAUUGGUCUCCAGAAGUAGGUUCAUUCUAUAGGAGAGCUGAAUGAGCAGACUCAGAGUGCAGACUACUUUAUGUAUAAAAUGUAUACUAUAACUAUCUCAAAACUACUUCAUAAUGAACCUUUUCCAGCUUCACCACUUUUUGCUGCACUUGACCUUGGAAGGGUCUGAACAAGAAUAAUAGAAGCACUUCAACGAGAGACUGUGAGGUUCUUUUUUAAGGAAAAGCAGCUUGAAAAAUGACAUUUGAUACUUUUGAAUUGGUACCUUGAAGUUCAUGAGAUUUGUUGCUGUUCAAACGCACAGUAUUCACAGAGGUUUGGAGAGCAACAGUCAGGAUAUCAGUGGAGCAGCCUGGAAUCCUUUUCUCAUCAUUUUACAGGGAUUUGCCUUUGCAGAGUGGAAAAUAUCAUAGCUGCUUUUUCAGAUAUACUGAGGCAAAUGUAUUGGAAUGAUUAUUAUGCCGACUUAGUUGUACCAACUUCAGGAAAUCUAUUAGUGUUCUGACCACAAGACUCUUUUUCUUGCCAGUAUUAUAAGCAAAGAGCCAUUUUUUGUCUGUCUUUUCUUGGUUCCUAUUGGAGAUGUGGCACAUUAGGUCAAUACUCCUUUUUAGUUCAACAGUUCUUGAUACUUGCUAGAUCAAUUUUAAAAACAAUGUUGUGCAAUGUCCUCUCCUUCAUUUAACUUGCUUGUUUACUCUAAGGCAAAUCAGGCUGUCAGUGUUGAAAACCAAAUUCCCCCUUUAUUUCAGUGGGGAGUUCUACUUAAUAACAUAUGGCAUCUGGCUCAUUGAUUAACAUUGAAACUGCAUGAGACAUUGAAACAGAAGUCCUAAUCUCUGCAUGCUAUCACUGAAGAUGGGUAAUUACUAAGUGACGGUUUUGUAAAAUGGGAUGUGACCCUAAGAACCCCUCAGUGCCACCUGGUAAGGUGGUUACAAGAAUAUCUUGAUCCUGAUAUGUACAUUCUGAUUACCAAAGAAUGUCAUGUGAGGUCUUAAAUGAAAGCCACGGUCACACUGGUCAUUAAUAUUCUUGUGAAAUGUAUAUUCAGCUACUUUGUAAGGAGUUAUAUAUGUACACAGAAAACGUGUACCUAAAGUCUGUAUCGGGUGGAGUUGACACAAUGAAAGCCAUAUAUAGAGAGCCAACUGGGGAAUGUGACCUUCCUCUGGAACUAGGUUUUAGAUCGCAACUGGAGAUUAGGCAAUUGGGUCUAAAAUCUGUGACCACUGCCCCCUGUACUUUGGGGUUGGGGCCUGUUUCUCCUGUCAGGGUGAAGGACCUGUGUUGAUGGUACACCCUCAAAGAAAAGGUUCCAUAACAGGAUGUUUCCUCAGUGGUUUGGGAGGACUUGAGAGAGACUUUUGCCCUCCCCCAUUGAGGAGCUGGCCACCAGGUGCCUUCUUCAGAGACUUUGCUGUCACAGGUCCCCCGGCUUACAGAUGAUGCAUGACCUCUGGAGCAAGAGGAAGAUGGCUAGAGGGAUGGGGGCUGGAAAUCUCAUGCUGAGGCUGAUUGGUUGAGGCAUAGAAAGUUAUUGCAAUUGGUAUUGUGUUUAUGCAGGAAGCGCAAAAAAAAGUCUUUUCCUCUCAUAAUAUGCACUAAAUCUUGGACAGAAGAUGUUUUAGGUUAUAGUGAGUCUGGUCAAUCUGGAUUUUCUCCCCUCAGUAGCUGGACAGAGUCCUCACCAUCCCAAGGAAAUGUCAUAUUUUACAGACAAGGUCAAGCUGAUUAAGGGUGAGUUGUCUGCUUCUGUUGUGGCAGAACAAGGUCUUGAGGGGAAAAGGGCCUUAACUAGUCUGCUACAGUUUCAGCCAGCAAUGCUUCCUGAGGUACUGCAGGUGUGAGAACUUCAUCCCACAACCAAUGCUUUGGAUCUACAUCCUCUCCUAGCUGUUGAAAGCAAGUGGGGAAGUGAUGGGUCCUUAGCUGGUGGAGAGUGUCAACAUCAAGCAGUGCGUUCUUUAGCACAGACUUCACUAAAUCUUCGUUAUCUGUAUGUAGCGUGCCCUUCGUUAGAGGGAAUGGGUGUGAUUGUAGAGAAAGUUGUAACAAGACAACUCCCUGUUUCUAGAUGUCCUUGACCCUUGUCAAUGUGAAUAAAAGUCCUAGCGUCAGUAGAGAGUCUCAGUUGGCCCAUGUCCUCCCAGCAGAUCCAGUAUUUAUAUUGGUAUAAGAUCUGUUGGAUCUCUUUAAUAUCGUUGAUCACAAAGUUUUGUUGACUCACCUGCUGACCUUGACUGCUUUUGGGUGGCUUUGUUCUUUGAUUUGAGAGAACACUGGGUAGCUGUGUGCAAUAGCAUCUCUUCCUGAAAAGCUCUCUGGUGUGGGACAUAACAGGGUGUUAUUUUGUUACUCUCCUGUUCAGCAUGCACAUGGGGCCCAGAGGAGGGUUCGUAAGGAGGUAUUGGUUGCGGUUUGUUUCAGAUUGCUGA